AGGAGCAGGCUCUGCUUUCGCCGUCAGCGCGCCGCCGGGCGGGAGCGGUGUGAAAACGUCUCCGAAAACGUGCGCUUUGUACAGCUGCUGUUCAGGAGCUGUGUGUGCUCCCUUGUCAGAAUAUUGAAGGAUGCGUCCCUCUGUGCUUCGGGCGAGGCUUUGGAGUAAAACACGUUUAUUCAGUGGAACAUUCACAAAAGUGGCUUGAAGGUGUCUGAGUAUGAUCUUCCCAGCGAAGCUACAGGUCCUUUUGUUCUGUCCGGGUACAGUGGCUACAAGCAAGUCCAGUUCCCACGAGGAAGGCUUUUUGCUUUUGACUCUGAGGGCAACUAUAUGUUGACGUGUUCUUCUACUGGGGGAGUAAUUUUUAAGUGAAAUGGCGAGGAGAAGGUUCUGGAGAGCUGCCUUUCCCUGGGAGGACACUGAGCUCCUGUUGUCACGGUGGACUGGAGCACAGCCAUGGACUGCGGGACCUGCCUCACUGCCUCUAUGGAUGGGAAGAUUAAAUUAACAACAUUACUGGCUCAAAAGUCUUAACCUGGACAGUGCUGAAGGGAAGGAGCAACAGACUUGGUGAAAACAGUGUUAACUCGACAGGAACAAACUGUAUGGGAGAGAAGGCAAACCACAGUCCCUCUUCUCAUUGUAGCUUUUGCCUCUUGACAAACGUUAAACACAUUUGACAAACCACUGUGCAAUAGAAAGCCGGUAUGGGACCGGAGCAGUGGCAGCACUGACAAAUAAGUCUCCACUGACCUGUUGUGGCAGCUUGACCCCUCUGUUAGGGAGUGUUGAGGUAGCACGUGGCUAGAAGGCUGCUGGGAUCACGUCAGGGGUUCUGCAGAAGAAGGUGAGGCUAGAGAAGACGUGCAUGAGGCAGCACAGUGCAUGCUGAUAACAUGGCUAAAAAUGGAAAGGCCAGUGCGAAAACAGAGUAUUCUGUCAGUACAGCAUUUGUUGUAGUGCUUUUUUUUUUCCCCAUUCUGCGUGGUUUUUGGGGUUUUUUUUGUUUGGUUGGUUGGUUUUUCAUAAAAAGAAAAUAUUCCCUUGCAACUUGAUUUCUGUGCUCUGUUCAGUUGCUGCUGCAAAACAUGGAGGGUGGCUGGGGCAAUGAUGUGCCAAGAAAGUGUCCUGCCUGGAGAAAAGACCCUUGUGCUUUCACCAGGCGCUUCCGGCACUGACACCCGCACCCUGGGGAGAACCAGUGCAGGACAUCCAGGAACAAAAUGAAUCGCAUUCCUUCAGACGUAUUGUGUUCCCUUGCGAUACCUGCUACCAACUAAAGGAGAGAUCCUGAGUCAGACUUUUUGAAAUGCUUGCGUUGGAGUUCAGAAGCUACAUAAUGCCUAGCAGCUACCUGAUGGCGGAUAGGAGGAGGGAGGGCCGGAGCCAGUCUGGUCUGGUAUAGUGCUGUCUGUACUGGAGCUGUCUCUCCCCCUGCAUUCCCCCAACAUCAGGGCAAGUGCUGUGCUCAGGUAUUGCGUAGUCUUUGGAUGGACUGCAAAGCAGCCAGAUUUCAUCUGCUUACACAUCACCACGGAGCUUACUGCUGCUUCUGUCCUUGGCCUUUGUUGGGAGUUUACAGUACUGUU